GCGGCUAUAGCUCAGUGGUAGAGCGUUUGACUGCAGCUCAAGAGGUCUCCAGUUCAAAUCUGGGUGCCCUCA